rnacentral:rRNA from 1 species
AUUGAACGCUGGCGGCAGGCCUAACACAUGCAAGUCGAGCAGCAGCGGGAAAGUAGCUUGCUACUUUUGCCGGCGAGCGGCGGACGGGUGAGUAAUGCCUGGGAAAUUGCCCAGUCGAGGGGGAUAACAGGUGGAAACGACUGCUAAUACCGCAUACGCCCUACGGGGGAAAGCAGGGGACCUUCGGGCCUUGCGCGAUUGGAUAUGCCCAGGUGGGAUUAGCUAGUUGGUGAGGUAAUGGCUCACCAAGGCGACGAUCCCUAGCUGGUCUGAGGGGAUGAUCAGCCACACUGGAACUGAGACACGGUCCAGACUCCUACGGGAGGCAGCAGUGGGGAAUAUUGCACAAUGGGGGAAACCCUGAUGCAGCCAUGCCGCGUGUGUGAAGAAGGCCUUCGGGUUGUAAAGCACUUUCAGCGAGGAGGAAAGGUUGAUGCCUAAUACGCAUCAACUGUGACGUUACUCGCAGAAGAAGCACCGGCUAACUCCGUGCCAGCAGCCGCCGUAAGAC